AGCUGCUCCCGGCACAGCCCCAUCACAGACCAGCAUCUCUGACUUUCUGUUUGUACCACUUCCGUCUGGCUCCUGAUGCCUGCCUUUCCAGGGGUGUUUCGCCUCCAUUGUCUAAGAUUCUGAGGACACCAAUGGCCUGGAGGCCGGUUCGGUUUUCCAGAAGACCCAGGGCUGGGGCUCCCUCUACGCCCCUGCGGCCGCCCCGUGGAACAAGGACAAGAAAUGUUACAUGGGACAUGGUUAUCUUCAGCAUGGAUUGGACUUAGUUUCUUGGGACACAAUCAGCUGUCAGGUGUCCACUGACUUUGUGCACAGACCCGCCCACCAACCACAAGCAGAUGCCCCCGGCAUGCCUGAAGUGUCGAGAACACAUGGAGACAUCCAUGCACAAGAAACCUCUAACUGUAACAUUUUUAAUACUUAAUUUCUCUGUGAGAUUUUAUUUUUGGAAAUGAUAUGCUGCCAGCCAAGAGAUGCGGUUUGGGAAGGUCUUUCUCAGAUUUCCAGCUGGACAGACAAUGAGGACGGUCACACUGUGUGAAGCCCAAGGGCAGGGUCCAUGCCGAGGGCACACGGUGGAUGCAGAGUGAACACACGAGCAGAGAGCUGAGUGCUAAGAGGUAUUCCAGCUCCCAUGACUGUGAACAUAGGGAUCUCCCACCUGGAAGGAAAACCCUAUAGGAGGAGGUGAAAAAAAUGGAUAACACAGAAAAGGUGUGUUUGUAAACUGGAGAGAGGGGCUGUGGGGUAGGAUAGAGUUUGUAAGGAUGUGUUAGAAGGCUUUGCUUCUGCCCCGAGGCUUUGUGUGAAAGGAAGCGUUGUCUGCCGCCCUCUGACCACUUCCUCAGGACCAGCUUCACCCUGUGGAGCUGCAACUGGAAGUGAAUCAACCCAGGUGGUGCAAGGAAAACGAAGCUGCUUUAGUGACCACGGUGGCGGUUCAUCGAUGUUUUUCGUCUCCGCGCCUGUCCUCCCCGGCUGGGCUCCCCGCUUCCCUGAGUGGUGGUGGUGGAGGUGAACCUGAGCUUCCAGGCAGGAGGUUACCCACACGCAUGCGCAGGUGGCCAGCUGCAGGGGUGGGAGGAGCACUCACCUUGCUGCAAUGAGGAAGGUGCAGAGCUGGGAGGUGAGUUAAUUCAGAGCAGCAAGAUGCAGGAGCUUUUGUUCCCUCAGCCGAAAUCCACCCCCCACCCCCACCUAGGAGAUCUGAGCCCGAGGAGCGCCAGGCGCAGGGCUGAUAGGUGACAGGUGCAAGCGUGAGUGCAGUGUAGGAUGGAGGGCGCUCCUGGGUUACAUUACAGUGAAGAAGGAGCCAAUGCAGCCAUGUGGCAGUCGCUGUCUGGGGAUGCAUUCAGGUCUCAGUGUCUUUUCAAACCAGCUCCGUCAGGGGAAGAACAGAAGAGAUGUGGA